UAACUAAUACAGAUUUACGCUGCUCAAAAUUAAAUGUCAUGGAGAUAAUGAGCCGCUACCAUGCUUAUGCAAGAGAAAACAUAAUAACCAACUGAAUAGUCAGCAAGUACCUACUCCUGUAACUCAAAAAAAAGAAACAGAAAACAUUUUUUAUGCAUACUCCACAUACUGUAGCUCAAGGUUAACAAACUUUCUAAAAUUGGAGGUAAAACCAUUAAGACAAAUACAAAAAAAUGUGAUG